rnacentral:lncRNA from 1 species
UUUUUCCAAAAGCAUCCGUAAGUGGUUCUGCAACUAAUGAAAUGAUUUACAACUGUCAGAAUAUUUUUCAAGUUUAUUCUUACAUGGAAAGUGACUUUAAGAGUAUAGCAUUCAGAAUCAGCGUCUCUUCCUGGCCACAAAGAAGACUUGCAAGGUCAUACCCUUUUUCCUUCUUUUUCUGCUAACGCCUAGUUGGAAUGUAGCAACAUCCCAUUGAUUCAUAAAAUCAAUUGACCUUGGCCCCCAUUUAUCCCAGGCCCCUCCACUUCUUAGAAAGUUGUUUUUCUGUUUGUUGUUUUUAAAGAACUCUGGAAGGUCAUGGUUGAGGAAUCUGCAAAUGCUGAAAAUGUUCUUUGUGUCAGCAGCCUAUAUAAUGAGAGACUGAAUGUUUUUAUUAUAGACAUUAGCUGGUGAUUUUACUUUGCUCACAGUGCUAAGUUAAUACAUCUGCCCGCACUAUCUACUCAGAAACUACCACGCUUUUGAGUAACAGAGCAUAAACCCUCUCUAUAAAUAGUUUUCCUUAGAUCACCCUGAGCCCGGACCCAUUCCCUACCAGAUAAUAAGUGAUGUUAAUCUUUUGAUUCUUUUCUCUCUUUCAUAGAUUACAUCGUAUUUUAAAUCAGACAUAAACAAAAUCUUGCAGGAAACGUAAUUAGAAAUGAAAUUGCUCCAAAGAACCUUUGUCUCUGGAAAAAGAAAAGAAAAACAACCUUUUUCACCCUCCAUGAUGUGCUGGGACAUAUCUAGUCUAAUGAUCAGCUGUCACCAAGUAAUUGAAUACCCCAGAGCUUGAAGUGCCAGAGAGUCUAUGCAUUUUCAUUCCUGUUAUUUUUUCCUCUUCAUAAAUAGAGAGGUUCAAAGACAGCUACCCAUGACCAAACUGGCAUGUAAAAGCAGAAUCAUUACAUAUGUAAAAGGCUAUACAAGAGGAAAGAAUACCAGAUUUAAAUGGCAGAGACCCCAAAUUCCCAUCUUGAGUCUUCCCUAUUUACUAGGUGAGUCACUUCAAUUUUCUGGUAAAAGUUCCCUCAUCUUUAAAAUGGGGAGUUU